AUGGCAGUCGUUGUAGCAGUGCUCCUGCUACGACGUAGUGUUGCCUGUGAGACUCCAUGGCUGGCUGUGGUCCGUGCGGGGCAGCGCCGCUGCGGGCUUCCUCCGGCCUCCGUCGCCGUCGGCAGUCACCGCUUCAGUCCGCCAGCCGAGAGGCUAGAAGGGGAAGCCACCCAAUGUCCAAUCCAUCCAGUACUGCAUCCAUCUACAAAUUACCAAGGUUUUUCAGGUUCAGAUCCUGACAAAAGCUCUGCACUUGCCACGGCUGCUACUCAAGUUUGUAGUGCCAUCCACCUCCUCAUAAAGCAGGUGCCGCAUGAUCUAAUAAAGCAUUGGUUGAUUGGAUACAACCUUAAAUAUUACACACAUAUAUAA
rnacentral:rRNA from 1 species